rnacentral:rRNA from 1 species
UGAGGAAUAUUGCGCAAUGGCCGAAAGGCUGACGCAGCGACGCCGCGUGAAGGAUGAAGUCCGUUAGGAUGUAAACUUCUUUUGUAGGGGAUGAAUGUGGCGCUUCGAGCGCCAUUGACCGUACCCUGCGAAUAAGGAUCGGCUAACUACGUGCCAGCAGCCGCGGUAAUACGUAGGAUCCGAGCGUUGUCCGGAGUUACUGGGUGUAAAGGGCGUGUAGGUGGAUCUCUAAGUCGGUGGUGAAAUCCCGCAGCUUAACUGCGGAACUGCCUCCGAUACUGGAGAUCUUGAGUGCGGCAGAGGGAGAUAGAAUUCAUGGUGUAGCGGUGAAAUGUGUAGAUAUCAUGAAGAAUACCAGUAGCGAAGGCGGUCUCCUGGUCCGUAACUGACACUGAGGCGCGAAAGCGUGGGGAGCAAACAGGAUUAGAUACCCUGGUAGUCCACGCCUUAAACGAUGGAUACUCGGUGCUGGGCCGUAAGGCUCAGUGCCAAAGCUAACGCGUUAAGUAUCCCACCUGGGGAGUACGAUCGCAAGGUUG